ACCAGACUCCUACGGGAGGCAGCAGUGGGGGAUAUUGCACAAUGGGGGAAACCCUGAUGCAGCGACGCCGCGUGGGUGAAGAAGCGCCUCGGCGCGUAAAGCCCUGUCAGCAGGGAAGAAAAUGACGGUACCUGAAGAAGAAGCCCCGGCUAACUACGUGCCAGCAGCCGCGGUAAUACGUAGGGGGCUAGCGUUAUCCGGAAUUACUGGGCGUAAAGGGAGCGUAGACGGUGAUGCAAGUCAGAAGUGAAAGCCCGGGGCUCAACUCCGGGACUGCUUUUGAAACUGUGUAACUGGAGUGCAGGAGAGGUAAGCGGAAUUCCUGGUGUAGCGGUGAAAUGCGUAGAUAUCAGGAGGAACACCAGUGGCGAAGGCGGCUUACUGGACUGUAACUGACGUUGAGGCUCGAAAGCGUGGGGAGCAAACAGGAUUAGAUACCCCAGUA
rnacentral:rRNA from 1 species